rnacentral:rRNA from 1 species
UGACGGCGCGAGCAGGUGCGAAAGCAGGUCAUAGUGAUCCGGUGGUUCUGAAUGGAAGGGCCAUCGCUCAACGGAUAAAAGGUACUCCGGGGAUAACAGGCUGAUACCGCCCAAGAGUUCAUAUCGACGGCGGUGUUUGGCACCUCGAUGUCGGCUCAUCACAUCCUGGGGCUGAAGUAGGUCCCAAGGGUAUGGCUGUUCGCCAUUUAAAGUGGUACGCGAGCUGGGUUUAGAACGUCGUGAGACAGUUCGGUCCCUAUCUGCCGUGGGCGCUGGAGAACUGAGGGGGGCUGCUCCUAGUACGAGAGGACCGGAGUGGACGCAUCACUGGUGUUCGGGUUGUCAUGCCAAUGGCACUGCCCGGUAGCUAAAUGCGGAAGAGAUAAGUGCUGAAAGCAUCUAAGCACGAAACUUGCC